CAAAGGCUUGGUCCUGACUUUACUAUCAACUCUAGCUAAACUUACACAUGCAAGUAUCCGCACCCCCGUGAGAAUGCCCUACAGUUCCCCGCCCGGGAACAAGGAGCUGGUAUCAGGCACGCACUACUAGCCCACGACACCUUGCUUAGCCACACCCCCAAGGGAACUCAGCAGUGAUAAACAUUAAGCCAUAAGUGAAAACUUGACUUAGUUAAAGCUAAGAGGGCCGGUAAAACUCGUGCCAGCCACCGCGGUUAUACGAGAGGCCCAAGUUGAUAAUUACCGGCGUAAAGCGUGGUUAAGAUUUUUAUAGAACUAAAGCCGAACCCCUUCAGAGCUGUUAUACGCACCCGAAGGUAAGAAGUUCAACCACGAAAGUGGC
rnacentral:rRNA from 1 species